ACGUCGCCUUGCUGGGCCAGGCGGAGCCGCGACAGCCGGGGCGGGAGAGCGCGGCGGCGCCCUAACACUCUAUCAAGCACCCGGUGCAGCAGCCUAAUGGUGUCUUUCAUCAGAGGGGCGGCUCCUCCAGCAGCUGCGCAUGCGUGGUGACACCGCACUCGGCACCCUCCAGGCAUCCAUUGUGCUUAGUUAAGCGACCGUGCGUAGGCUGCUGGAUUCACCUGCGUUAGUCCCCUGCCUCCGGGUGUCGUCCCCCGUGGAGUGAAUGUGGAAACCAGCGCGCGCUGCACGGGGCCUGCGGGAGCCCAGGGAGGCGACUCACGGGCAGGGCCUGUGUCCAGGGCCGUGCCGAACCCAAGGGCUGACCCUUGCGUAGCCUUCCCGGAAGCGCGUACUUCCUUGCAUCCCCGCGCCCAGUGGGAUGAUUUGCGGUGCUGUGUUUGUCCGUGACUACAUUUGAUGUGCGCCUGUCACGUGAGCAUCUCGUCCUGAACACAGCAAAUAAGAGCCACAUCCCUCUUCUGCUAUCGGGAGUUCUUCCCGACACAGGAAGUCGCACAGAGAGAGGGGGCACGCACCCCUACUCGAUCUGCUAGAAACUGGGAAAAAUAAAAGCAGCCCUGAUGACACUGACGGCUGUUAGAACGGGACAACGGGACUCCUGCACAGCGCAGCAGGCAAUGCGGGGUGAGUGACCCCAGGAGACCGCGCAGGGGCCUGUCCUAUGGUGAGGUCUACACUGGCCACGAGCUCCCCCGACCCACAGGGAGGCAGCUGUCCACCCACAGACCGCGUGCAAAGGCUGUAACAGGCUGGGUGAACUGAAAGAUAAAAAGAAGCAACGUGGAGGUUGGAGUUUCAUAAAUAUUUGCAAAGUCCUGCUGGAAAGGGAGCCAUAUACAUCACACUUGCAGUCAGCUGUGUCCCUGUGCGGGGCCCUCGGUGCUAAUCGGCCGUCCGACACCACUCACCUGAGGCCUCACCGGAACGUGCGGUGGGCAGCUGGCUACACACAGAAUUCCCUUGGAGAAAGAUGUUCUAUCAGUGUGUGAGUGCCUUUUAAUCAAUAAUUUUAAAAUUAAAAUACAAUUAAACUUCUGCAAGAGCUGGGAUUAAAUUUAAAGGCUUUAUAUUUUAAUGCUAAAAUACCUAAUUUUCACUGGGACAGGAAAAUCAUACAUCAUGGGUUUGCGUUUCAGCCAAAUCUGUCUCAGCGUUUACAAAGAGAUAGUUGCGUGCGUAUUCAAUUUUUCUAACCUGAAAAGGAAGAAAAUAAUUUAGUCAGUUUUUUUAAAAUGCUGGGCAAGCCUUGCCCUGUUCACUGUGGCGCAGGGGCAGGAGAGGGGGCGGUGGGUCUGUCUCCGGGCGUGUGGCUCCCCCAGUGGGCAGCCCUGGCCUGGGUCUUGCUCUGGGCUCUGAGGUAGGGCGUCAGCCACAGACGGUCUCCCAGCGUGCACAGCCCAAAACCUCCCACGUGCUCCAUGACAUGCUGGCCCGGUGACCGCCGUCACUUCCCACCAGGAUCUUGGUUUCUGUCCAUCUUGUGGCCAUGGGAGAGCGGCUGUCGCUGGGUUUCAGUGGACGCUGCCCCUGAGCCCUAGACCGGGAGUCAGGCGCAGUGAGGGGGGAGGGGGGAGACGCUGGCUGCCCCGGGAGGGUUUUCCUGAGUCUGACGCAGUGAGAACUCUGGAUU
rnacentral:lncRNA from 1 species